UACAGACCCUGUUCCACCAUCCACAGGAGCCCAGAGCCCUGCGACCCCCUACCCUGACCCAAAUGUGGGAACGGGUUGGUGGUGAAGGAUUUUAAUCAGAACACCCUCCAAUAGCCAGAGAGGCACUCAGUGGCACCUGGAGGUGCCUGCUUCCUCCUGAAACACUCAAUUACCUUUACAAGGGUUUUCUCAAGGACGCUCGGAGGGGGUCAGCUCCCUUGGCAGGAAGCAAUUAGGACAGAGGAAGGAGGCUGACCUGGCCUCAGGGCAUCCAUGAACCUAAGGAGGUAACUCAGAAGCAUGAGAAUGGGGGCUGCUAUUUCCAGCUGAAACCACCCUGUUCCUGCCUGUCUUGAGGUCACAGGGCAGUCCACCUCCUGCUUUCAAGCUUGCCUUCUGCGCCAUCUGCCACAGAGGAACCAGAGUGAUCUUCCUAAAGCACAAACCUGACCAUGUCAACACUCCCAUGUUCCACCUCUUCCCUCAGUAUAAUAAGCUUCUUCCCUGGCGGCCCUGCAUGAUCUGUCACCUACUGAUUUCAGAAACCUGAGCUGCCCCCACCUCCUCCUCCUGCACUUGAGUCCCUCUGAAUUGUCCUCCAUUUAUCUAAGCCAUCUCCUAGGUUCCAUGGCUUGUGCGCAAGCCACCACCCCUCCCUGGGCCCCCCAUUCCCCUGUCUCAAUGAUCUCCUCCUCUGUGAAGCCAUCCCAGACCUCGAUCUGCCCCUCAUGGCUACACAGUCCAUCAUAGUUACCAAACACCUUCCCAUGUGAUUCCCUGUCAGCAGAGCCAAACACAUAUUUAAGUGUUUUUUUUUUUCUUUUUCUUUUUUUUUUUCAAAAAGACAGGGGAACGAAGGUUCAGAUAACAGUAAAGCUGGGACUUGAACUCGGGUCUCCUGACUUCAAGGCCCCUUGAGGCGCUCUCAUCCAAGGGAGCAAAUCCAAAUCAGAAUGAGGAAAGACAGUUGUCAGACCUCCGAUCUCUCGGCAUCCUGGAGCGCCGGCGAAGAAUACGAGCCUCGAAAUGCCGAAUCCGCAGCAGUCCGCAGGCCCGGUUUCAGGCCCCCUCCUCUGGCGAGCCUGAAGGUUCUACCCCCAGUUCACUUCGGGCGUGAAGCGGUCAGCACAGGAGAGCUCAGCCGUCCCAGUCACAGCAGCAACACCAGGGCAAUCAACCGAGAGGUAGAGUUGAACACCCAGCGCCUCCCCCCCACCCCGGCCUCCGGCCGGCCCGCACGC
rnacentral:lncRNA from 1 species